CUUUUAGCAUAGGGGCUUCGGCGCCAGCGGCCAGCGCUAGUCGGUCUGGUAAGGCAAAGCGGAGCGGAGAUCCUCAAACGGCCUAGUGCUUCGCGCUUCCGGAGAAAAUCAGCGGUCUAAUUAAUUCCUCUGGUUUGUUGAAGCAGUUACCAAGAAUCUUCAACCCUUUCCCACAAAAGCUAAUUGAGUACACGUUCCUGUUGAGUACACGUUCCUGUUGAUUUACAAAAGGUGCAGGUAUGAGCAGGUCUGAAGACUAACAUUUUGUGAAGUUGUAAAACAGAAAACCUGUUAGAAAUGUGGUGGUUUCAGCAAGGCCUCAGUUUCCUUCCUUCAGCCCUUGUAAUUUGGACAUCUGCUGCUUUCAUAUUUUCAUACAUUACUGCAGUAACACUCCACCAUAUAGACCCGGCUUUACCUUAUAUCAGUGACACUGGUACAGUAGCUCCAGAAAAAUGCUUAUUUGGGGCAAUGCUAAAUAUUGCGGCAGUUUUAUGUCAAAAAUAGAAAUCAGGAAGAUAAUUCAACUUAAAGAAGUUCAUUUCAUGACCAAACUCUUCAGAAACAUGUCUUUACAAGCAUAUCUCUUGUAUUGCUUUCUACACUGUUGAAUUGUCUGGCAAUAUUUCUGCAGUGGAAAAUUUGAUUUAGCUAGUUCUUGACUGAUAAAUAUGGUAAGGUGGGCUUUUCCCCCUGUGUAAUUGGCUACUAUGUCUUACUGAGCCAAGUUGUAAUUUGAAAUAAAAUGAUAUGAGAGUGACACAAAUAA
rnacentral:lncRNA from 1 species